rnacentral:rRNA from 1 species
GCCGAAAGUCUAGCCCUAAGUUAUUUUAUACUUUUCUCCUCCCCUUCAAAUAUAAACUAAAACAUUUAUUCAACCUAGUAAAGGCGAUUAAAAAGUUAAUUAGAGCUAUAAUAAAAGUACCGUAAGGAAAAGAUGAAAUAAAAAUGAAAUAAAUUCAAGCACAACAAAGCAGAGCUACUAUCUCGUACCUUUUGCAUCAUGGUUCAACUAGUCAAAUCAAGCAAAAAGAACUCCAGUUUGACUUCCCGAAACUAGACGAGCUACUUCGAGGCAGCUUAAUGAGCUUACCCGUCUCUGUUGCAAAAGAGUGGGGAGACCCCCAAGUAGCGGUGAUAGACCUAACGAGUCUAGUGAUAGCUGGUUACUUAAGAAAAGGAUUUUAGUCCAACCUAGAGCAUUUUUAAUAUACUUAACUAGCCUUAAUGCUUUAGUUUUAUUCAAAUGAGGUACAGCCCGUUUGAAACAAGGAUACAACCUGCACUAAUGGGUAAUAUAUUUAUUAUCGUGUAAACAAGUUGGCCUAAAAGCAGCCAUCUUUAAAAUAGCGUCAAAGCUUAUCUACACCCCCUUACCAAUUCCUUUAUACAUGUAUAACCCUUUAUUUAUAUUAAGUUAUUCUAUAACACUAUAGAAGCCCUUAUGUUGAAACUAGUAAUAAGAAGACAGCACUUCUCUUAAAUGUAAGUGUAGAUCAGAAAGGACUUACCACUGAUAAUUAAACGUUUAUGAUUUUGCAACAGCAACCCCACUAGAAAACCCUGUUAUUCUUAACGUUAAUCUGACACUAGCACAUUUCAAGAAAGAUUUAAAGAAAAAGAAGGAACUCGGCAAAUAUUAACCUCGCCUGUUUACCAAAAACAUCGCCUCUUGCACCAAUAUAAGAGGUCCAGCCUGCCCAGUGACCCAGUUCAACGGCCGCGGUAUCCUAACCGUGCGAAGGUAGCGUAAUCACUUGUUCUUUAAAUGAGGACUAGUAUGAAUGGCACCACGAAGGUUACACUGUCUCCUUUUUCUAAUCAAUGAAACUAAUCUCCCCGUGAAGAAGCGGGGAUUUAAAUAUAAGACGAGAAGACCCUAUGGAGCUUCAAACUAAAUAGUAUUGGCUUUUAUCCAUUUGCACCCCCCCCCGGGGCCCUAUACUAACUCUAGCCUUUUAACUAUUAGUUUUGGGUUGGGGUGACCGCGGAGCAAAAAUUAUCCUCCAUGAUGAAUAGAGCUACUCUUGAGCCAAAAGCCACAACUUUAAGCACCAAUAAACUGACAUAAAUUGACCCAAUAUUUUGAGCAACGAACCAAGUUACCCUAGGGAUAACAGCGCAAUCCAUCUCAAGAGCCCCUAUCGACAGGUGGGUUUACGACCUCGAUGUUGGAUCAGGGUAUCCCAGUGGUGCAGCCGCUACUGAAGGUUCG